AUUUUCAUUACUUGAAAUUUUAGUUAGCGGGUUAGCUUCAUGAGAUGUUAUAGUAUAGUAGGUAUUUUCUGAAAAAACGGGUUCAUCCAAAGUUCAAAGCUUUUGGACUAUUAAGAGAACACUCAAGGCACUAUAAACACUAGCCCAUUUCAGUGGUUUUGGUGGCUGAAGUGCCCUGGUUCUCUCACAGGUUAAGUAGUCAAACCAAUCAAGAGCAGUUUGACAAAUGACUUGUGGUCUACCAGGUGCCGUGUAGGGCCAGCUUAUUGGCAAAGAGCGUUAGCUGAGUUAAGUUACGCACCGCUGAGCUAGGCUCAGUGCUGCAUGUUCUGGAGACCCAGGAGAUGACUAGCUCUCGCUGGACCUCAGGUAAGCUGUCAAACCAUUCUUUAAAAGUUAGUGGGCUGUAGUGGUUAUGGUGUACUUUUAAAUCUGAUAAAUAAAAUGCAGAAACAAUUUUUUUUGUAUAUAUUGCAGCAAACUGAUUAUACAAAUGUAAAUAUUAUCUAAAUUUAUUUUUAUGUGUUUUAAUUA